rnacentral:rRNA from 1 species
GGCAGACGGGUGAGUAACAUGUGGGUAUCUACCCUUUGGCCUGGAAUAACACGAGGAAACUUGUGCUAAUACCGGAUAAGUCUUUACGGAGAAAGCUUUAUGCACCAUUGGAUGAGCCCGCACUUGAUUAGUUUGUUGGUAGGGUAAUGGCCUACCAAGACUAUGAUCAAUAGCUGAUUUGAGAGGAUGAUCAGCCACAUUGGGACUGAGACACGGCCCAAACUCCUACGGGAGGCAGCAGUGGGGAAUCUUGCACAAUGGAGGAAACUCUGAUGCAGCGAUGCCGCGUGAGUGAAGAAGGCCUUUGGGUUGUAAAGCUCUUUCGUCGGGGAAGAAAAUGACUGUACCCGAAUAAGAAGGUCCGGCUAACUUCGUGCCAGCAGCCGCGGUAAUACGAAGGGACCUAGCGUAGUUCGGAAUUACUGGGCUUAAAGAGUUCGUAGGUGGUUGAAAAAGUUGGUGGUGAAAUCCCAGAGCUUAACUCUGGAACUGCCAUCAAAACUUUUCAGCUAGAGUAUGAUAGAGGAAAGCA